AGUGAAGUGAGCAUCGGCCUCCACAAUAAAGGACACAGCGCCUUCACCAGUGCCCCCGUCGCUUGGAUGGAAACGCUGCUGAAACAAAGACUGGGGUGCAGCUGAUUCAGCUGAAAAUAUCAGUGCAAGGAGAGAAACAUUUUCAAGGACCGGAGGAGCUUUUCCACAGUAUAAAUCCGCACUAUUCCUGAUUUGAAAUCAGGCUUCGCAGUUUAGCGCUGAGCACCAAUUAAGCCUUUCAGAGGUUACAAAGCCAGAAGACCUACACUGG